ensembl:lncRNA
GUGAGUGAGUGAGUGAGUGAGUGUGUGUGUGAGUGAGUGAGUAUGUGUGUGAGUGAGUGAGGGUGUGAGUGAAUGGGUGAGUGAGUGGGUGAGUGAGUGAGUGAGUGAGUGAGUGUGUGUGUGAGUGAGUGAGUAUGUGUGUGAGUGAGUGAGAGUGUGAGUGAAUGGGUGAGUGAGUGGGUGAGUGAGUGAGUGAGUGUGUGUGUGUGUGUGUGUUGGGGGGUGAGUGAGUGUAUGUGUCUGUGAGUGGGUGAGUGUGUGAGUGAGUGGGUGGGUGAGUGUAUGCGUGAGUGAAUGAGUGAGUGAUUGAGUGAAUGAGUGAGUGUGUGUGUGAGUGAGUGUGUGAGUGAAUGGGUGAGUGAGUGAGUGAAUGAGUAAGUGAAUGAGUGAGUGAGUGAGUGUGUGUGUGAGUGAAUGGGUGAGUGAGUGUGUGAGUGAGUGAGUGUGUGUGUGAGUGAGUGUGUGAGUGAAUGGGUGAGUG